GGAGGGAAUUUUUGUCCAACGUGCACCUUGACAGAGCUUCACUGACCACGGGCUGUGUCUCCCUGCGGCCGCGCAGCGCACCUCGGACCACAGACCUCUCUCUGGAGCCGUGUGUUUGCUCCUCACCUGACAGGCUGUGUGAGAACCCAUCUGUGCUUCCCCAGGACGUCUGACUGCAUGCACCCCCCGACUGUGCAUGGGAACCCUGCUGGGCCUGUGAUCUGUCCAGGGGAUGGAUGAGGAAGAGACAAGAAAUGAUGCCCAACUGUGGCCUCCAGACUGACGCCUCCUGACACCGCGUGCUCGGUAGACACAAGCAAAGAGGCAACUAAGAAAUUAGAAGAUUGUAUAAGAAGCUGCAUAGAAU